AGAUUCUUCCAUGCUGAUGGCCGUGCACUAGAGUUGGAGCGUAUCUCCUGUCGAAGAAAAUAUCUAGACAUUAUGAACCAUAUGACUUAGGCUGAAAAUCAUCAAUAAACCACAAGAGUUUAGCUCCAACCCCAAUUAAGCAGACCUGAGCAGCUGAUCAAGGAUCACCAGAAACUUUGCAGAACGUUGGUCCUCCAUGCCCAGGACUGGACACCAGUGUUGUAAGUCAUCAAUCUAGCAGUCAUCCUGCCUCUCUGAACUGUC